rnacentral:rRNA from 1 species
GCAGUGAAACGGCCCAAGCGACUGUUUACCAAAAACACAGGUCUCUGCGAAGUCGAAAGACGACGUAUAGGGGCUGACGCCUGCCCGGUGCCGGAAGGUCAAGUGGAGAGGUUAGCCUUCGGGCGAAGCUUUGAAACUAAGCCCCGGUAAACGGCGGCGGUAACUAUAACCGUCCUAAGGUAGCGAAAUUCCUUGUCGGGUAAGUUCCGACCUGCACGAAUGGCGUAACGACUUGGGCGCUGUCUCAACGAGGGAUCCGGUGAAAUUGUAGUCUCGGUGAAGAUGCCGAGUACCCGUGGUUGGACGGAAAGACCCCGUGAACCUUUACUACAGCUUGACGUUGGAGUUCGGUGUACGUUGUCCAGGAUAGGUGGGAGACUGUGAAGCGGGGACGCUAGUCCUCGUGGAGUCAACCUUGGGAUACCACCCUUCGUGUUCUGGGCUUCUAACCCGCUGCCGUAAUCCGGGGCGGGAACAGCGUCAGGUGGGUAGUUUGACUGGGGCGGUCGCCUCCUAAAAUGUAACGGAGGCGCACAAAGGUUCCCUCAGCACGGUUGGAAAUCGUGCGUAGAGUGUAAAGGCAGAAGGGAGCUUGACUGCGAGACUGACAAGUCGAGCAGGUGCGAAAGCAGGCCUUAGUGAUCCGGCGGUAGAGAGUGGAAUUGCCGUCGCUCAACGGAUAAAAGGUACUCCGGGGAUAACAGGCUUAUACUUCCCAAGAGUCCACAUCGACGGAAGUGUUUGGCACCUCGAUGUCGGCUCGUCGCAUCCUGGGGCCGGAGUAGGUCCCAAGGGUUGGGCUGUUCGCCCAUUAAAGCGGUACGCGAGCUGGGUUCAGAACGUCGUGAGACAGUUCGGUCCCUAUCCACCAUGGGCGCUGGAAGUUUGAGAGGAGUCGUCUCUAGUACGAGAGGACCGAGACGAACAGACCUCUGGUGUAUCAGUCGUCGUGCCAACGGCGCUGCUGAUUAGCCACGUCUGGAUGGGAUAACCGCUGAAAGCAUCUAAGCGGGAAGCCCACCUCGAGAUGAGGCUUCCCAUCCCCUUGAGGGAGUAAGGGUCGUGGGAGACCACCACGUUGAUAGGCGGGACGUGCAAGCGCAGCAAUGCGUUUAGCGGACCCGUACUAAUUACCCGAGGUCUUGAUUUG